AGAGUUUGAUCAUGGCUCAGAACGUACGCUGGCGGCACGCCUAACACAUGCAAGUCGAACGAAGUAGCAAUACUUAGUGGCAGACGGGUGAGUAACAUGUAGGUAUCUGCCCUUUGGCCUGGAAUAACACGAGGAAACUUGUGCUAAUACCGGAUAAGUCUUUACGGAGAAAGCUUUAUGCACCAUUGGAUGAGCCUGCACUUGAUUAGUUUGUUGGUGGGGUAAUGGCCUACCAAGACUGUGAUCAAUAGCUGAUUUGAGAGGAUGAUCAGCCACAUUGGGACUGAGACACGGCCCAAACUCCUACGGGAGGCAGCAGUGGGGAAUCUUGCACAAUGGAGGAAACUCUGAUGCAGCGAUGCCGCGUGAGUGAAGAAGGCCUUUGGGUUGUAAAGCUCUUUCGUCGGGGAAGAAAAUGACUGUACCCGAAUAAGAAGGUCCGGCUAACUUCGUGCCAGCAGCCGCGGUAAUACGAAGGGACCUAGCGUAGUUCGGAAUUACUGGGCUUAAAGAGUUCGUAGGUGGUUGAAAAAGUUGGUGGUGAAAGCCCAGAGCUUAACUCUGGAACUGCCAUCAAAACUUUUCAGCUAGAGUAUGAUAGAGGAAAGCAGAAUUUCUAGUGUAGAGGUGAAAUUCGUAGAUAUUAGAAAGAAUACCAAUUGCGAAGGCAGCUUUCUGGAUCAUUACUGACACUGAGGAACGAAAGCAUGGGUAGCGAAGAGGAUUAGAUACCCUCGUAGUCCAUGCCGUAAACGAUGUGUGUUAGACGUUGGAAAUUUAUUUUCAGUGUCGCAGCGAAAGCGAUAAACACACCGCCUGGGGAGUACGACCGCAAGGUUAAAACUCAAAUGAAUUGACGGGGACCCGCACAAGUAGUGGAGCAUGUGGUUUAAUUCGAAGAUACGCGCAGAACCUUACCAACACUUGACAUGUUCGUCGCGACUUUAAGAGAUUAAAGUUUUCGGUUCGGCCGGACGAAACACAGGUGCUGCAUGGCUGUCGUCAGCUCGUGUCGUGAGAUGUUGGGUUAAGUCCCGCAACGAGCGCAACCCUCACUUUUAGUUGCCAUCAUUAAGUUGGGCACUCUGAAAGAACUGCCAGUGAUAAGCUGGAGGAAGGUGGGGAUGACGUCAAGUCCUCAUGGCCCUUACGUGUUGGGCUACACACGUGCUAC
rnacentral:rRNA from 1 species